GACGAACGCUGGCGGCGUGCUUAACACAUGCAAGUCGAACGGAAAGGCCCUGCUUGCAGGGUACUCGAGUGGCGAACGGGUGAGUAACACGUGGGUGAUCUGCCCUGCACUUCGGGAUAAGCCUGGGAAACUGGGUCUAAUACCGGAUAGGAGCCAUUUUUAGUGUGAUGGUUGGAAAGUUUUUUCGGUGUAGGAUGAGCUCGCGGCCUAUCAGCUUGUUGGUGGGGUAAUGGCCUACCAAGGCGGCGACGGGUAGCCGGCCUGAGAGGGUGGACGGCCACAUUGGGACUGAGGUACGGCCCAGACUCCUACGGGAGGCAGCAGUGGGGAAGAUUGCACAAUGGGCGCAAGCCUGAUGCAGCGACGCCGCGUGGGGGAUGACGGCCUUCGGGUUGUAAACUCCUUUCGCUAGGGACGAAGCUUUUUGUGACGGUACCUAGAUAAGAAGCACCGGCUAACUACGUG
rnacentral:rRNA from 1 species